rnacentral:misc_RNA from 1 species
GAAAUGCGAUACGUAGUGUGAAUUGCAGAAUUCCGUGAAUCAUCGAAUCUUUGAACGCAUAUUGCGCCCAACGCUUCGGCUUAGGGCAUGUCUGCCUCAGCGUCGGUUUAUACCCUUGCUUUCCCACCAUGUGGAGUGCUUCCCCUUAACCCGGGAUGCCGAAAGCAGAUCUGGCUUUCCCAGACCAUUGUUUCAAUGGGCUGGGUUGGCUGAAGUGCAGAGGCUAGAGCUUGGACCCGUAUGGGCUCAACUGGAUAGGUAGCACCGGCCUUGGCCGACUACACGAAGUUGAUGCCUGUGGACUAAGCUGGCGGCCAGCAGGAAAACUCUAAACAUUCGACCUGAGCUCAGGCAAGGCUACCCGCUGAACUUAA